UCAUAGGACCAACAUUAAAGUAUUCUGAGGAGGAUUUCAGAAGCCAAGCAGGGUCAGGCCUGGUUAGUACUUGGAUGGAAGACCACCUAGGAAGACCAGGUUAUGCU
rnacentral:rRNA from 1 species